GAUGAACGCUGGCGGCGUGCCUAAUACAUGCAAGUCGAGCGAACAGACGAGGAGCUUGCUCCUCUGACGUUAGCGGCGGACGGGUGAGUAACACGUGGAUAACCUACCUAUAAGACUGGGAUAACUUCGGGAAACCGGAGCUAAUACCGGAUAAUAUAUUGAACCGCAUGGUUCAAUAGUGAAAGACGGUUUUGCUGUCACUUAUAGAUGGAUCCGCGCCGCAUUAGCUAGUUGGUAAGGUAACGGCUUACCAAGGCAACGAUGCGUAGCCGACCUGAGAGGGUGAUCGGCCACCCUGGAACUGAGACACGGUCCAGACUCCUACGGGAGGCAGCAGUAGGGAAUCUUCCGCAAUGGGCGAAAGCUUGACGGAGCAACGCCGCGUGAGUGAUGAAGGUCUUCGGAUCGUAAAACUCUGUUAUUAGGGACGAACAAAUGUGUAAGUAACUAUGCACGUCUUGACGGUACCUAAUCAGAAAGCCACGGCUAACUACGUG
rnacentral:rRNA from 1 species